CGUGAACUGUUCACACCACCAAAAAUGCAGUAUCUUUAGCCAAAUCUGAAUUAAUCUGUUCAGAAUGAACAAGCAGAAUAGUCUUUGGAUUUGAUCCAAAUCCCUGAAGCACUUUGGGAAUGAGAAUGGCUAUGCCAGACAGAGAGACCCUGGCGACUUAUGAUACUGCGGAACACAACAGGCACUUCAGAUUGGUCCCAGUCCUCUACGUAUUGAUAUAUAUAUAGAUGCCUAAACCAAAUGGACCUCAUUUCCUUUAAAAUUCUGAUAUCCAAAGUAAGCAGCACCAGUUAAGUUGAGGGAGAGCAGUGAUAUUGAGCAGUCAGCUAAAGAAACAAAGCUGUAGAGGCAAAAGAAAGCAGUAUAGAGAUUUAUUCUCCCACUGGCAUGAAAGCUGUGAUUCUGACCACCUUCUACAUCACUGUCUACCACCCCUACACCAGCUCUUAGAAGACAGAGUAACUGCAGGAUGCUGUGGUACCUGGAGUGAUGCCAGACUGCAGAGGCCACCUGGUGACAUGAGGAGAGAUUCAACUUAACAUGGUGAGGAUGGCAGAGUAGAGCUAAAGUGGAAAAAGCAUUUCCCUGAUGAAUUUAAGAAGCUACUGAAUAAAUAUGUCUGGAAGUACC
rnacentral:lncRNA from 1 species